UACGAAGGGGGCUAGCGUUGCUCGGAAUCACUGGGCGUAAAGCGCACGUAGGCGGCUUUUUAAGUCAGGGGUGAAAUCCUGGAGCUCAACUCCAGAACUGCCUUUGAUACUGGGGAGCUCGAGUCCGGAAGAGGUGAGUGGAACUCCGAGUGUAGAGGUGAAAUUCGUAGAUAUUCGGAAGAACACCAGUGGCGAAGGCGGCUCACUGGUCCGGUACUGACGCUGAGGUGCGAAAGCGUGGGGAGCAAACAGG
rnacentral:rRNA from 1 species